CGGACUUGCUCUGUGGGUCAGUGGCGACGGGUGAGUACACGUGAGCAACCUGCCCCUGACUCUGGGAUAAGCGCUGGAAACGGCGUCUAAUACUGGAUACGAGUAGCGACCGCAUGGUCAGUUACUGGAAAGAUUUAUUGGUUGGGGAUGGGCUCGCGGCCUAUCAGCUUGUUGGUGAGGUAAUGGCUCACCAAGGCGUCGACGGGUAGCCGGCCUGAGAGGGUGACCGGCCACACUGGGACUGAGACACGGCCCAGACUCCUACGGGAGGCAGCAGUGGGGAAUAUUGCACAAUGGGCGCAAGCCUGAUGCAGCAACGCCGCGUGAGGGAUGACGGCCUUCGGGUUGUAAACCUCUUUUAGCAGGGAAGAAGCGAAAGUGACGGUACCUGCAGAAAAAGCGCCGGCUAACUACGUGCCAGCAGCCGCGGUAAUACGUAGGGCGCAAGCGUUAUCCGGAUUUUUUG
rnacentral:rRNA from 1 species